rnacentral:lncRNA from 1 species
CCCAAUUUUACGGUUCACUGAACAUAGAAAAUGAUAGUGCAAAUUUCAGGUUAAAGUUUUUGGCUUCAGGUUAAAGUUUUUGGUCAAGGUAGUUUUUGAUGAAGUUGAAGUCCAAUCAACUUGAAACUUAGUAUACAUGUGCCCUAUGAUAUGAUCUUUCUAAUUUAAAUGCCAAAUUAGAGUUUUGACCCCAAUUUUACGGUUCACUGAACAUAGAAAAUGAUAGUGCAAAUUUCAGGUUAAAAGUUUUUGGUCAAGGUAUUUUUGAUGAAGUUGAAGUCCAAUCAACUUGAAACUUAGUAUACAUGUGCCCUUGAUAUGAUCUUUCUAAUUUAAAUGCCAAAUUAGAGUUUUGACCCCAAUUUUACGGUUCACUGAACAUAGAAAAUGAUAGUGUAAAUUUCAGGUUAAAGUUUUUCUUCAGGUUAAAGUUUUUGGUCAAGGUAGUUUUUUGAUGAAGUUGAAGUCCAAUCAACUUGAAACUUAGUAUACAUGUGCCCUAUGAUAUGAUCUUUCUAAUUUAAAUGCCAAAUUAGAGUUUUGACCCCAAUUUUACGGUUCACUGAACAUAGAAAAUGAUAGUGCAAAUUUCAGGUUAAAGUUUUUGGUCAAGGUAGUUUUUGAUAAAGUAGAAGUCCAAUCAACUUGAAACUUAGUAUACAUGUUCCCUUUGAUAAGAUCAUUCUAAUUUAAAUGCCAAAUUAGAGAAUUUAUUCCAAUUUCACAGUCCUUUAAACAUAGAAAAUGAUAGUGUGAGUGGGGCAUCCGUGUACUGUGGACACAUUCUUGUUUGUAAA